ensembl:snRNA U6 U6 spliceosomal RNA
GUGCUUUUGCCAGCAAUACAUAUACUAAAAUGGAAACGAUAUGGAGAAGGGUGGCGUGGCCUCUGUGCAAGGAUGACACAAAUUCAUGGAACGUUCAAUUUGUUA